rnacentral:piRNA from 1 species
UUCCUGUUGCUACCUGUCUAGAGCU